UCUUCUUCUUCUUCUUCUCU
rnacentral:miRNA from 1 species